rnacentral:misc_RNA from 1 species
AUUGAAUUCCACAAAAUUUUGUGUGCUGGAGUUGAACUAAACAAGCACUUAAACUUUUAUUUUUACCUUAAUAAGAUCCUUAUUUCCACAACCUGUCAUCUUACUUUCUGAUGCACCCUUGUGCAUGUAUAUGAUGUAUUAUUUACAUAAAUUUGGUUCUGUAUGUAACAAUGUUUCAUCCAUUGCAGCUUGAACGUCAAG